UGGUUGAGUCAUGAUUCCCUCGGAGUCUUCAAAUUGAUCACGAAUUGCAAGUCUCUAGUAUCAUUAACUCGUAUCAGUUGAGUCCUACUACAAUUCAAUCUAAAAUGAUAACAGCGCCAAACACACCUCUUGUAACAUUAGCUACUACUAGGGCUGCAAAGGGGU